rnacentral:pre_miRNA from 1 species
AAAUGACUACUUGCUAAGUCUUUGUCUCCAUUCGAUGAGAAUCUCCAAUGAUGAAAAUGGCUUGGAGAUUCUCAUCAAAUGGAGACAAAGACUUAGCAAGUAUGAUGAAAA